rnacentral:misc_RNA from 1 species
GAUGAAGAACGCAGCGAAAUGCGAUAAGUAGUGUGAAUUGCAGAAUUCAGUGAAUCAUCGAAUCUUUGAACGCACAUUGCGCCCUUUGGUAUUCCUUAGGGCAUGCCUGUUCGAGCGUCAUUUAAACCCUCAAGCUCUGCUUGGUGAUGGGCGUCUUGUCGAUCUAGCGGACUCCGCAGGUGACUCGCCUCAAAUCUAUUGGCGGCUAGCAUUGUAGUUUCGAGCGCAGCAGAAACGCGAACUCGGGUCUACGUGUGAGCGCCCAGCAAGCCACCCCCCGAUUUUGACCUCGGAUCAGGUAGGGAUACCCGCUGAACUUAAGCAUAUCAAUAAGCGGAGGA